UAAAGGAUUCCGGUAAAGGAUGGGGAUGCGUUCCAUUAGGUUGUUGGUGAGGUAACGGCUCACCAAGCCUUCGAUGGAUAGGGGUUCUGAGAGGAAGGUCCCCCACAUUGGAACUGAGACACGGUCCAAACUCCUACGGGAGGCAGCAGUGAGGAAUAUUGGUCAAUGGGCGCUAGCCUGAACCAGCCAAGUAGCGUGAAGGAUGAAGGCUCUAUGGGUCGUAAACUUCUUUUAUAUAAGAAUAAAGUGCAGUAUGUAUACUGUUUUGUAUGUAUUAUAUGAAUAAGGAUCGGCUAACUCCGUGCCAGCAGCCGCGGUAAUACGGAGGAUCCGAGCGUUAUCCGGAUUUAUUGGGUUUAAAGGGAGCGUAGGUGGACUGGUAAGUCAGUUGUGAAAGUUUGCGGCUCAACCGUAAAAUUGCAGUUGAUACUGUCAGUCUUGAGUACAGUAGAGGUGGGCGGAAUUCGUGGUGUAGCGGUGAAAUGCUUAGAUAUCACGAAGAACUCCGAUUGCGAAGGCAGCUCACUGGACUGCAACUGACACUGAUGCUCGAAAGUGUGGGUAUCAAACAGGAUUAGAUACCCUGGUAGUCCACACAGUAAACGAUGAAUACUCGCUGUUUGCGAUAUACAGUAAGCGGC
rnacentral:rRNA from 1 species